rnacentral:rRNA from 1 species
AUUGAACGCUGGCGGCGUGCUUAACACAUGCAAGUCGUGCGGUAACAGGCGUAGCAAUACGUGCUGACGAGCGGCGAACGGGUGCGUAAUACAUGGGAAUCUGCCCUUUAGUGGGGAAUAACCCGGCGAAAGCCGGGCUAAUGCCGCAUAAGAUCUUCGGAUGAAAGCGGGGGAUCGUAAGACCUCGCGCUGAUGGAUGAGCCCAUGUCGGAUUAGCUAGNGGUGAGGUAACGGCUCACCAAGGCGACGAUCCGUAGCUGGUCUGAGAGGACGGCCAGCCACACUGGGACUGAGACACGGCCCAGACUCCUACGGGAGGCAGCAGUGGGGAAUAUUGGACAAUGGGCGCAAGCCUGAUCCAGCCAUGCCGCGUGAGUGACGAAGGUCUUCGGAUUUGUAAAACUUC